GACGAACGCUGGCGGCGUGCCUAUUACAUGCAAGUCGAGCGGACUUUCAUUGGUGCUUGCACCUUUGAAAGUUAGCGGCGGACGGGUGAGUAACACGUGGGUAACCUACCCUGUAGAUUGGGAUAACUCCGGGAAACCGGGGCUAAUACCGAAUAACACUUUUGAACUCAUGUUCGAAAGUUAAAAGAUGGUUUCGGCUAUCACUACAGGAUGGGCCCGCGGCGCAUUAGCUAGUUGGUGAGGUAACGGCUAACCAAGGCAACGAAGCGUAGCAGGGCCGAGAAGGGAAUCGGCCACACUGGGACUGAGACACGGCCCAGAAUCCUACGGGAGGCAGCAGUAGGGAAUCUUCCACAAUGGACGAAAGUCCGAUGGAGCAACGCCGCGUGAGUGAAGAAGGAUUUCGGUUCGUAAAACCCUGUUGCAAGGGAAGAACAAGUAGCGUAGUAACUGGCGCUACCUUGACGGUACCUUGUUAGAAAGCCACGGCUAACUACGUGCCAGCAGCCGCCGUAACAC
rnacentral:rRNA from 1 species